rnacentral:rRNA from 1 species
AGUGAACGCUGGCGGUAGGCCUAACACAUGCAAGUCGAACGGCAGCACAGUAAGAGCUUGCUCUUACGGGUGGCGAGUGGCGGACGGGUGAGGAAUACAUCGGAAUCUACUUUUUCGUGGGGGUUAACGUAGGGAAACUUACGCUAAUACCGCAUACGACCUACGGGUGAAAGCAGGGGAUCUUCGGACCUUGCGCGAUCGAAUGAGCCGAUGUCGGAUUAGCUAGUUGGCGGGGUAAAGGCCCACCAAGGCGACGAUCCGUAGCAGGUCUGAGAGGAUGGUCAGCCACACUGGAACUGAGACACGGUCCAGACUCCUACGGGAGGCAGCAGUGGGGAAUAUUGGACAAUGGGCGCAAGCCUGAUCCAGCCAUACCGCGUGGGUGAAGAAGGCCUUCGGGUUGUAAAGCCCUUUUGUUGGGAAAGAAAAGCAGCAGGUUAAUACCCCGCUGUUCUGACGGUACCCAAAGAAUAAGCACCGGCUAACUUCGUG